rnacentral:rRNA from 1 species
UACGUAGGGUGCGAGCGUUAAUCGGAAUUACUGGGCGUAAAGCGUGCGCAGGCGGUUAUGUAAGACAGAUGUGAAAAUCCCCGGGCUCAACCUGGGAACUGCAUUUGUGACUGCAUAGCUAGAGUACGGUAGAGGGGGAUGGAAUUCCGCGUGUAGCAGUGAAAUGCGUAGAUAUGCGGAGGAACACCGAUGGCGAAGGCAAUCCCCUGGACCUGUACUGACGCUCAUGCACGAAAGCGUGGGGAGCAAACGAGG